ACAAGCGGUGGAGUAUGUGGUUUAAUUCGACGCAACGCGCAGAACCUUACCUAGGCUUGACAUCCCGGGAAUUUGCUGGAAACAGUGAAGUGCUUUCAUUAGAAAGAGCCCGGUGACAGGUGCUGCAUGGCUGUCGUCAGCUCGUGUCGUGAGAUGUUGGGUUAAGUCCCGCAACGAGCGCAACCCUCGCCUUUAGUUGCCAGCAUUCAGUUGGGCACUCUAAAGGGACUGCCGGUGUCAAACCGGAGGAAGGUGGGAUGACGUCAAGUCCUCAUGGCCUUUAUGUCUAGGGCUACACACGUACUACAAUGGCAGGUACAAAGGGCAGCGACACAGCGAUGUGAUGCGAAUCCCGAAAAGCCUGUCUCAGUCCGGAUCGGAGUCUGCAACUCGACUCCGUGAAGUUGGAAUCGCUAGUAAUCGUGGAUCAGCAUGCCACGUCGAUACGUUCCGGCCUU
rnacentral:rRNA from 1 species